AAUAGAUACCCCGGUAGUCCACGCCCUAAACGAUGUCUACUAGUUGUUGGUGGAGUAAAAUCCAUUAGUAACGCAGCUAACGCGUGAAGUAGACCGCCUGGGGAGUACGGUCGCAAGAUUAAAACUCAAAGGAAUUGACGGGGGCCCGCACAAGCGGUGGAUUAUGUGGAUUAAUUCGAUGCAACGCGAAAACCUUACCUGGCCUUGACAUGCCACUAACGAAGCAGAGAUGCAUUAGGUGCCCGAAAGGGAAAGUGGACACAGGUGCUGCACGGCUGUCGUCAGCUCGUGUCGUGAGAUGUUGGGUUAAGUCCCGCAACGAGCGCAACCCUUGCCAAUAAUUGCCAUCAUUCAGUUGGGCACUUUAUUGGGACUGCCGGUGACAAACCGGAGGAAGGUGGGGAUGACGUCAAGUCCUCAUGGCCCUUAUGGCCAGGGCUUCACACGUAAUACAAUGGUCGGUACAGAGGGUAGCCAAGCCGCGAGGUGGAGCCAAUCCCAGAAAGCCGAUCGUAGUCCGGAUUGCAGU
rnacentral:rRNA from 1 species